CGCGCCAUGAGAUUUUUCCUUACGAUUUUCAAAGUUGCGAAAACGACCACUUCCGAUUUUUAAUGGCCGAUCUGAUAUUGAACGCAUUUUAUAUCGUUUUUUUUUUUUUCUUUUUGUUUUUCUUGAUCAGGAACUAUUAAGUUUUUAUUUGUGGUGCAUCAAAAAAUAAAGAAGAUUGUUUUUCCUGUUUUGCGAUGAAGAUUCUGCGGUCUUUGGUAUUUCAUUAACUAGCUGCUUGAUUACUUUCUGGAGACAAGUAAAUAGACUUUUUGUGCCAGGCACUAGCGGUAGAAGAGGAUUUAAUAAAAAUUCAUGCAAGUAUGGAUGCGAACAACCAUGCAUCUUUCGUAACUAUUGAUAUCAGGAUCGGUUUGAAGAUAGCGUGGUACCAGCGAUAAGAAGCUAAAGCAAAAUUAUGUUCUAAUAAGGAUGUAAUGGCACUGUCCGCGGCCGUAUUAUCGUAAUAUCCUCGACUAGUCAAAUACAUCAAUGCAAGACAAUGAAGGGUGAAUCCAAACCCCACGUCACGUCGACAACAUCGAUCUCAUUUGGAUCUACGUGAGCUGGUACAGCAUUAAAAAGAUUCUCUAAACGGCUAGUUAUGAUCGUCGAUAAAUCGCUUUGUGCUACCAUUUGAGCAAAGGUGAUAUCUUCGAGCGAAGCUAAGACCAUUAUACCUUCGCAGGCUCUCACUCUAACCGUGUUGUCCUAUAAUGAAAGGAAAGAGAAAAAAAAAAAAAAAAAAAAAAAAAAAAAAAAAAAAAAAGAUCGUUAAAAGAAAUCUCAUUGUAAAUAAAACAAAGUCAAGUGAAAUAAACACGAUUAUUUACAGCACUGUUUACGUAGCUCAUAAGGGCUUCCAAUAAAAGGCAUUUUGAUUUCGCUGGUAUUCGCGAUGGUAUCAAAAGACUUCGUCCGCAAUUAUUUUCUAUUGGAUUAUUUGUCUUGUCACAGGUAUUGCAAUCCUCGGUUCAUAGUCAAAGUCGAAUUACAACAGACAUUUUGUGUGAGCGGACUCGAGGAUUGGGAUAUAUUCUCCGUAUCUUUGGAAGAAGUAGAUGCGUUCGAACGUGUGGAAGUGUUAGGUGGAUUCAAUAGAUUCGGAUUUACCAAAGCAAUCGCCUGUGUAUUCAAUGGUUCGAACAAAGGAUUAGAAUUAUUCUUUUUUCUAUUUGGAACAUUACGAUUAGACGUUGUAUAGGUGCAUAGAUUGAGGUGUGAUGUAACAAAGGAUAUUUUGAUCGACCAAGUAAUUUUCUUAAAAAUGAAAGACAGACCACUCUCAUACCAGGUGGUGUCUCGGCUGUUGCCAAUGAAGCUAACAGAUCCAAAAGUUUGUGCUGCAAUAAGUAUUCCAAACAUGGCCCAGGAUCAUUUCCAUCUUUUUCCUCUUCCAAUAAAAGCUCAAGUAAUCUAUCGAGAUGCCUGGGUAUACUGGUUGUUUGUAUCGGAACUUUACAAUCGUUCAAAUGAUUUAUAUAAAAGUUCAUAAGUUGUUUCCAGUGGUAUGUGAAGUCUUGUAGCGGCGUGGCCGGUGGUGCUAUCUUAAAAUCAGACGUGAUUGAAAGUUUAAUAGUGUGAAACAUGAGCCAUAUAUAUAUAUAUAUAUGUACACAUACGAAACUAGAUGUUAUACGCAUACUAUGUAUAUAUAUAUAUAUAUAUACAUAGUUCAAGAAGAUAUACAUAAGUAUUAAAUUACAUAACGAGAAAAGAGGAAUCUACAAUUUCAAUGUCGCAUUACGGAAAAAAGAAAAAAAGAAAAAAAAAAGAAAGAAAGAAAGAAAAAAAGACGUAUAAAGGGAAAUAAAUAUGACACGUGCGGCAAUAGGGAAUACAAUCAGAGGCCGGCAGAGAGAAAGAGAGAAAAGAGACCUUGAAGAGCGUAUGCGCGACACAACUAUGAAGGGACGAUCGAUGAAUAAUAUUGUGAAGCUGGAAACAUUUUCAAUAUUUUUCUUUUGCAAACGAACGUAAAGACAUUUUGUCGUAUCGUUAAAAAAAUUUGGAGAUAACGCAAAGGACAUGGUCACAUAGCGAGAGAAAUAAAAGAAGAGAAAAGAAAAGAAAUAAGAAGGAAACGAUUAUGACAAUUAUCAAUUAUCACUCACCACGUCUAUAGCAUUUUUUAAGGCGACGUGUAUGCCGCUAAUCAUUGUUCUACUUUGCCGAGGAUCUUGUCGGAAUGUAGAUCGAUCGUAUCAGAGGCGCUGCUGAACCAAUACCAGCAUUAUUUUCUCGUGAUCUCGCGAAAUACAACAUUCUCUAUCGCUUGUCAAACCGCAAUGUGUGCGUCUUUCUCUCUCUCUCUCCCUAACGUUCGCUCGUACGAGUACUCAACGAGUCUGUACUCUGAAGCUUUGACAUACGUUAAUUUGACUUUUCGACGGUAGAGGUAGCGACGAGGCAACGUUAAGAUAAAACUCACCUGACAACUCGUCAAUUCACUGAUUUUUGCCGUCAUGAGAUCGUGAAAGUGCGGAUGAAAUCUGUAAACUGAACCGUCGAUACCAACGGUGACAUGGUCUUCUUCCAUUUUAUUUAAAAGUGCAGCUAUGCCAGCACUAGCAAGAUGAGCUGCUCUCCUCGAAACGAUCGAGCAAACGUACCUAACGUUCUCACAGUCCUGGUCAGAAACGUUACGUUGACCUAAUUCCAUUAAAAUAUCACGACAAUUCGUGUAUUUGCCUUUGGGAUCACUGGAAGUAUUAAAUCAUCAUUAAAAAAAAAAAAAAAAAAAAAAAAAAAAUAACGAAACGAGAAAAUAGAUACAUAGAUAAAUAGAUAGAGAGAAAGAGAAAGAAAGACAGAGAUCAUACUGACUUUUCUAUUUCGGAUACGUAUUUUGUGAAGAAUUUUCCUCGCUUUUUGAGAUCACUUGAACAUUUGCCACCAAAGAUUAGACCCUCGUUGACAAGCUUCUCAAGUACAAGCCUCGUGAGUUCGCCCAUGUACAUGCCCGAUAUCAUUUUUUCAAAUAAUUGUUUUCCUGGAUUGAUCGAACUAUUGUCGAUCGAACGGUCAAAUUCUGUAAGAACAAAGUCGAGGGUCCCAUGUUCACCAAAAGCGCCCCAUUCCGUGUUGAUCAGCAUAUGUGACUUCUCCUGAUCGUAAUUUCCGGAGAUCGCACACUCUACCCUCUUCGUUUUCUCUACGUAACAAGCAUUGGUUCCUGUUCCUGUUUAAAUGAGGAAAAAAGAAAAAAAAAAAAAGAAAAAGGGAGAGAAAGAAAAAGAUAAUUUAUCGAGGAUUUGUCUCAAGGGAUUUGAUAAUUUGAAUAUUUGAAUUUGUUUUUUUAAAACGUACCAACGAUCAAGCCAAUACGACAAUUUCUAUUCUUCCAAGCACAGGACAUUAAGAUUGAUUCGAUGAACAACGUUAAUUGGCAAAUUAUGAUGCAGAGAAAGAAAGGAAAAGAUAAAGAAGAAAAUAUCUAAUAAUAUCGUACGUCUCUUUUUCUAAUGGCUUCCUCCAAUAAAGCGACUACGUCUUCGCCAAUAACUCCGCUACAAUUAAAGCCCUUUGUCCAUCUUACAAGAUACCCUUUUGUUAAACCAUGCUGGGAUAAUGGAAAACUAAAGGUUAUCAUUGUACAAGAAAUAGCCUGUUACCUGUGCCAUUUGGAAGAUCCUGUACGUAUGUGGUAAAACAUUUCACAAUGGCAUCAUCGUGACCAGACUUUGAGAGCCCUUUAUUAAUCUCUUCCAAGAGCCUUGCCAUAACCAUUUUGAGUUGAUCGUUGGAGAGAACCAGAUCCUUGCAGGCAUCUCGUAUCUUAGAUAAGAAAACAGCAAAGUUAAAUACAACAUUCUAAUUAGCUCAUUAUUUACAGACGAACGAAUCAACAUUCGACGAUUAAUAUUCUUCAAAUGACCUUCGACAAAUUUUUCUAUUAUCCAUUAUUAUUUUUACUAGAAAGAUCUCUCCUCUACUCGAGAAAAAAAGAAAUAUGAAAUACCCUAUUGCGUAAUUCUGCUUCGUCAUGGUUAUUUAUAACGAAACUAACGAAGAGCGAUUUACCUUUUCAAUCGUUCGACCAAUUCAGAAUAUUUUUGGAUAUGUUCGAGUCGACUUUUUCAUUGAUAUAAAAUUUCGAAGUUUAAGUACGAGUUUAAUGCGUUAAUUAAUUCAUCGGAAUGAAUUUUAUAUAAAUAUGUAUCCAAUGUUCGGGCAAAUAAUUCACCAUAUUAUGGAAUAUUUCGAUAUAACGUCAAAUCAUUAACAGGUGUCUCGGCUAAUAUUAUCAAAAUUGUUCAGAUAGAAAAUUUUACAAUUGAAAAUUUCAUUCGAUAUGAUCGAAAUGAUGAUAAAAUUUAUUUUAUUUUAUUUAUUUACUUAUUUCUUUUAUCGUUCAUUUUUGCCCAAUUAAAAUAUUGAAUAUUUAUCAUUUUAACCCCCCCAUUGGAAAUAUUUGAAUCACGUGACAUUUGGCGCGCUACUCCGGUCACGUGAUACUCGCCGCAAAUCUCAAAUUUCCCGGGAAAUCAAGACUUCCGGAGUCUUAACAACACCCUCUUUGGAGGGUUUAAACAUCGAUCUUUUUCUGACGUUGUUGGCACACCCUUGAGCUAGCCAAUAAAACGUUCAUGAAUGGUUUAUACAGAGAAGGACGAUACACGAUAUACUUUUGUCUCUCUUUCUCUCUCUCUUUCUCUCUCUCUCUCUCGAAUACUAUAUAAUACUUAACGCACGUAGCUCAAUACAACGUGUAAAGGCCAAUGCACACAUUAAUUCGCAUAAUGAAUGUGCGACAUAACGCUUUAGAAUCAUCCAGUUAAGGAUCGAUCAUUAUCAUUGUCGCACGCAAUUUACGUAAGAUUAAUCACGUUUAAACGAUAAAUGUCUCUAUCUACGUCUCAUAUUAAUUCAUAGUUGACCGAUAGAAAAGUUCAUAAAUUAAACAAGAACUUAUAUAUAUAUAUAUAUGAGUUUAAUGUCGCAUGAUUUUUGUUCUUUAUCCGGAAUACUUGUCAUUGACAUUAAGAAAUGAUAACGUGUUUCAAAUCGCUCUUACGUCGUACCAUAAUAUUUGAUAAUUUUAUCAUGACAUUAUAUAGUUUUAUGGUGACAUUAGAUGGAAUACAUUGACCCUCAUAAAUUCGAGUUACAACAAAUUUAACGGGGUCAUUGAUAAUUCAAGCAAGAAAUCGUGAUAACAAUUAAAUAGUUUGUAUUAGAAACUUUCGUCGAGAUACAAAAAUUUGUUUUUAAUUAAUUAAUUUGAUAUUAACCUUUAUACAUCUAUUAUUAUAAUCGUAUUACUUUCCGUCAAUGGACUUUACUCGACGCAAAAGUUGCAUUCGUCAUUCAGAGAUAUUCUCGAAUUCAGUUCUGACUAAUAAAUUCCUGUGGUUUCUCCAAAAAAAAAAAAAAAAAAAAAAAAAAACUUCAAAGACAGAAUAAAACGUGCUAUUUAUUAUUUAUUACUUAUGCAAAGCCGAUAAUCACUCCUCUUUGAUUAUACGUUUCAUUAAAUAAAUUCGAUUUUUUUUUAUUCAUUUAGUCACGAUUAUAAUCGCUUAUAAUCUCGAUUUAAUACCAUCUAAUAUUAAAUCUAAUAGACGAUUAUUUUCGAUACUAUUUCAGAUAUUUCACAAUUCUUUUGAAUUUUAACGUUUCGUAUCAAUAUUUAAACGUGUAUGUGCGUAUGUGUUCAUAUCUACUUCGAACAUAUUGACUAGGCCGAUUUAAAAUAAAUAAAGUCACGAUAAUUCAUAAUUAAUUUUGAUUCAGUCUGAUUUCCGAUAUCAGAAUGGCUACACUUAAAAAAAAAAAAAAUUUUAAUAUUAUUUUAACGUAACGUAAAAAAUGUAAUGCGCAAUAUAAAGAAUACGGACUUUUCAUAGAAAUAUUUGAAAUGGUGAUAAUUGUAAUAAUGAACUCUUUUGAAAUUUCAUUAUGGAGACGAUAAAUGAAAUUUAAAUAAAAAUUGGAAUUUAUAAAAUUGACCAAAGAUCUUUAUCUACUGUUAAGUUUGCUAUAUUAAAAUUUAUAUAUAUAUAUAACUAUACACAUACACACGUACACACACAAAAUAUAUUUCUACGUAUAUAAAUUUACUUUCGUGCACGUGUAUAUGUACAUAGGAAGAUG